CUCUGCCCAAGGUUCGUCCGGCAUUAACGUUCCCUCAUAAGUAAUGUUUCCUUCCGGACGAACUUUCCGCCGGAUCAAUGUUCCGUCCGGGCAACGUUCCGCUGGGAUUACCGUUCGUCUGUGACCAAUGUUACACCAUCUUUUGGGCCUCUCUAGAGCUGGUGAUCUGGGGAAAGCACCCCUGCCUCCCAGCCAGUGGGAUCCCCAUGUGUUAACUCCAGGAAUGUGCACACGCUCUAGACCUGGCCAAUCAGCAUCUUCUGUCCCUCGGGCUGCAGUGAUUGGUUCAGGACCAAACAUGCAACCUGAGCUGGACCAAUGAGAGUUAUAUCUAGUCCUUUUCCAGCCACUUUGAGGAAGAUGCUGAUUUUUUUUUUUUUUAUCUGCCUGAGUUGUCACCUGUUGGGUGGAGCCUGUGGGAUGAUGAAGCCAACCAAGAGAGAAGUUCUGAGAGGGUUGGAGAGAUGGAAAUGGCCACCUGGUCACCAUCACUGCUCUGGUCCAUGCUGAAGCAUCCUUUUCAGAUGAAGAAUAGACCAGCAAUCUGUAUGUAAUUUAUUUCCUAU